AGUGAACGCUGGCGGUAUGCCUAACACAUGCAAGUCGAACGGCAGCACAGUAAGAUCUUUCUCUUACGGUUGGCGAGUGGCGGACGGGUAAGGAAUACAUCGGCAUCUACUUUUUCGUGGGUGAUAACGUAGGGCAACUUACGCUAAUACCGCAUACGACCUACGGGUUAAAUCAGUGGAUCUUCGGACCUUUCGCGAUUCAAUUAGCCGAUGUCGGAUUAGCUAGUUGGCGGGGUAAAGGCCCACCAAGGCGACGAUCCGUAGCUGGUCUGAGAGGAUGAUCAGCCACACUGGAACUGAGACACGGUCCAGACUCCUACGGGAGGCAGCAGUGGGGAAUAUUGGACAAUGGGCGCAAGCCUGAUCCAGCAAUACCGCGUGAGUGAAGAAGGCCUUCGGGUUGUAAAGCCCUUUUGUUGGGAAAGAAAAGCAGCAGGUUAAUACCCCGCUGUUCUGACGGUACCCAAAGAAUAAGCACCGGCUAACUUCGUG
rnacentral:rRNA from 1 species